GCCUGAGUGGCUCAGUCGGUUGAGCGUCCGACUUCAGCUCAGGUCACGAUCUCACGGUUUGUGAGUUCGAGCCCCGCGUCGGGCU
rnacentral:tRNA from 1 species